GACGAACGCUGGCGGCGUGCUUAACACAUGCAAGUCGAACGGAAAGGCCCUGCUUUUGUGGGGUGCUCGAGUGGCGAACGGGUGAGUAACACGUGAGUAACCUGCCCUUGACUUUGGGAUAACUUCAGGAAACUGGGGCUAAUACCGGAUAGGAGCUCCUGCUGCAUGGUGGGGGUUGGAAAGUUUCGGCGGUUGGGGAUGGACUCGCGGCUUAUGAGCUUGUUUGUGGGGUAGUGGCUUACCAAGGGUUUGACGGGUAGCCGUCUUGAGAGGUGUACUGGCAGCAGUGAGACUGCGAUAAGGCCCAGACUCAGACGGGAGGCAGCAGGUGGGAAUGUUGCAGAGUGGGCGGAAGCCUGAAGCAGAAACGCCGCGAGCGUGAUGACGGCCUUUGGGUUGAAAACCGCUUCCGCCUGUGACGAAGCGUGAGUGACGGUAAUUGGUAUAGAAGCACCGGCUAACUACGUG
rnacentral:rRNA from 1 species